rnacentral:lncRNA from 1 species
GUGGUUCAACUAUGGAAGGGCCAAAGAGAAAUGAGUACAAGGCUAUGCUGAAGUUAUUUAGGAUACAUUCGGAGGGAUAGAAUCAGAAGGGAAGGAGAGGACACUAAUGAUGCUACUACUAAUUUUUUGUGCUUAAAAUAUGCUAUCGUUGCCUUUUCUUUUCGUCCCUUUUCAGUGUGAGUACGCAAAGCAUAAAAGCUUGAUGCUCUAGAGCAUUUUACUCCUCUGAUAUGAGCUUUAUCUCCUUCAGAAUGAAAUGAACUCUAAGAUUAUUUAAAAUGAGAUUGCUGAUCCAUUUGAUCGUCUUGCAGGACGAACGGAGCUCUGAGGUACUGUUAUGUUGCUUGUGACGAAUGAAAUGAUGAUUUGGCUUAAGAAAUAGUAAAUGUUAGCUGUAUGUGGAGUCUAUGUACUAUUCUAAGUUUUCACAUUCACAGAAAUUGGAUGUGUAGUUCAUGUUAUCUACACCAGAGGAAAUCUUCCUUAAUUGAAACAGAAGAAGGGACUUCUAUAUUCUAUCUUUGGUGUUUUUUCUUCUCUGUUCAAGAUUUCCAAUACAGAAUCUGGAAAUAGUGAAUGAAUAACAAAUUCUUUCUUUAAAUCACAACUUUUAUUAAAUAACUCAAUGCGAAGACAACAUACUUCAAUCGUAGUAGCUAUUAAGGACAAUUUCACUUUGAUCCCUUUAUUUCUGAUAGCAUAUUGACAUUUGUUGUUGCAAACAUCUACAACAUAGUCUUUCCAAUUCUUAGUAUUUCAACUCU